rnacentral:tRNA from 1 species
GGGGGUGGAGCUCAGUGGCAGAGCAUUUGCCUGGCGUGUACAAGGCCUUGGGUUCAAUCCCCAGCUCCACAA